GAUGGCAAUUUUCCCUGGGCUCAACAAUCCUGUCAGUGGGUGCUGGAUCAUUUUUAUCCCGGCUAUAAACAGGAAAUAUUACAGGAAAGCCUUUUAAAGCAUCAUCACCUCCAUCAGGAUCCAAGCUGGCAACAGGAGAACUGUUCUUUUCCUUGAAACUAUUUAAUAUUUUAAUAGCUGAUUAAAUUAGAACGUAACGGCCGAUGGGUGAUUAUUGGGAUUUAUUGGUUAAAGAGGAGAACUGGGAUAUUUAUCCACGUUUAAAGAUACUGGAAAUGUGCCCGUUUGAUAAAUCACGUUUGACUCUUUGUUGUUUGACGGGCUCAGUGUCACCUGAAGGACCAUUUCACAUCCUGCUGGUGGUCCCAGCGUUCCCGGAGGAAGAGCUUACCUGCAGAUGGCCGGAAAACAUUCCUGAAGGCCCUUUUUCUUCACUAAAGAUCCUUCCAGGCAAUACAUGAUGAUGUCCAUCACCUCGGAAACGACAA